GUGGAUAAGCUGCCUGACACUGAUAUGGUAAAAGGAUUAUCUGCAAAUUUCUAGCGUCAUCAAGACUGGCCUCUUUGCCCACAGGGGAGACGGUCAAGCCAGUAUGGGGGCUAAUGAAUAAAUGCUACACUGUGCCCACUCAGGUCAUGACCCCCAGGAGACCUGGAGGACUGAAUGCUGCUGUCCCCAAGGAGGAGGCUGCCGUCUUAUCCCAGGAGGGAGAGCAGGUGAAGUCCCCAGGGGAGGAAGCACCUAGCCCCAUUCCUGCUGAGCAGGAGGUGGCAGGUACCCCAGACUGGGAGGUAAGGACAGCCCAGGGCUUCAACUGAACGUCUCCGGCAUGGGUCCGACUGAGCAGCCAUGGAGCACUGCAGAGUGGGAGGCAGCAGGGCAGGGAGGCAGUGCUGGAGGCUGGCUCAACCCCAAGACCAGCAGGCCAAGCUGCCAUCCCAGGGGAGCGAGGACGUCUGUGCAGAGCUGAGAGGCAGCAGCCAUAUGUGAACAGACUGGGCCUCAUCCUGGCCCCACCGACUUUGUGUGGACAGAGCCUGUUUCCCUGUCUGUGCAACACAGAACCUGCCUGAUCUCACUGCUGGAUCCCUCUUCUUCCUGCCAGGAAAAUAAAAAGGUUCAAAAAGAAGUUGCUGCGUAUCCAUCUGAGGCCUCUGAGGACAGCAAAGAGCAAAGGCCCUGGGACCGGGUCUCCGUGCCCAUGACAGAGCUCUGGCUGGACUGGUUCUGAGCCUCUAACACCCCCAAGACUCAGAACCGUGAAGAAAAUCUUUCCAAUAAAUCCAAGAGUUGCUGCUGCUAUAGGCCAGGCUGCCACCUUUCGGGGCCUCCGUCUUCAGACAAACCCAGCCUGGCUUCAUCCACACUCCCUGUCCCCACAGCUGCAGGAACAGCACUUCCUGCCACGGAGCCGUGUGACCACAGUGGAUUGUCUCUGGAGGGGCCCAAGGGGGCCCUGGCCACCCUUCUGAUUGACUCGGUGCCAGGGGACAGACCAACGUCCCUCUCGUGCUGACAGCCGGGCCGCACCCUGGCAUGAGGGCAUUUACAGAAAUGUUGGCGGAACUGCUGCCAGGGAGGCUGUAGGGUCCUCUGGCAAAAGAGGCCUCAGGUGGCUCCUCAGAGUGUCUGGUUCUCUGUCCCAGGCUGUUCCCUAAGAAGGUCUGCCCAGGACUCAGGUAAUCAUAUGCUCAUUAGAAACUCUUGGGCACUGCCUGUGUGCCCAGCCCAGCCCCUUAUGUCGGUGAGGACAGACGUGGAGGACAGCAGUCCCUGCCCUUGGUUGGGGCUCCAGGCCAGCAAGGGCCACAGCCCCAGAAGGCAGAGCAGGAAGACAGGACUCGGGGCAGGUGAAGCAGCCUUCUCGUUGGCAGAAGGGAAACAGAAGCCCAGGGUGGGGAAGGGUGGGCCCGGGGUCACAGGGGGUAAUGGCGGGCCCGGGGUCACACGGGGUAAUGGCAGAGCCAGGACUAGGGUCAGGGUCUCUGGCUCUCAGCUGCCCAUGCCACCUCCUCCUCCUCUGCCCGCCCCAGUGCCUCAUGGGCCCAAGGUUGACUCCCAUCCCUAGGGCAGGCCAGUGGCCCACAGGGCUCAUACAUGGCCC
rnacentral:lncRNA from 1 species